rnacentral:rRNA from 1 species
AUGGGAUUAGCUAGUACAGUGGGGUAACGGCUCACCUAGGCGACGAUCCCUAGCUGGUCUGAGAGGAUGACCAGCCACACUGGAACUGAGACACGGUCCAGACUCCUACGGGAGGCAGCAGUGGGGAAUAUUGCACAAUGGGCGCAAGCCUGAUGCAGCCAUGCCGCGUGUAUGAAGAAGGCCUUCGGGUCGUAAAGUACUUUCAGCGGGGAUGAAGGGAGUAAAGUUAAUACCUUUGCUCAUUGACGUUACCCGCAGAAGAAGCACCGGCUAACUCCGUGCCAGCAGCCGCGGUAAUACGGAGGGUGCAAGCGUUAAUCGGAAUUACUGGGCGUAAAGCGCACGCAGGCGGUUUGUUAAGUCAGAUGUGAAAUCCCCGGGCUCAACCUGGGAACUGCAUCUGAUACUGGCAAGCUUGAGUCUCGUAGAGGGGGGUAGAAUUCCAGGUGUAGCGGUGAAAUGCGUAGAGAUCUGGAGGAAUACCGGUGGCGAAGGCGGCCCUCUGG